rnacentral:lncRNA from 1 species
CACAAUCCCACAUCCGUGCCCUUUGACUCUCUCGUUGUUCCGUCGUGAGCAUCGGCCGAUCCUCUCUGACCGCUGCCGGAUUUUUCGACGCCGUUCGAAUCUCUCUCUUUCUCUCUUCUUCACCUCCUUGACUGCCUAAUUGUUGAAUCUGUAAGUUCCUUUUUGAUUAAUUGAUUAUAUUGUUAUUGUCGCUUUAUUUUUUGUUGUUUUAUGGAUGAUAUUUUUCGGCACUUGAAAAGCUUGAUAUCAGUUCACCGUGUGGAAUAUGAAACGCAGCCGGUUUUGAACCCUAAUUGGAGCCCCUUUUUUUCUUUUGUUUUUCAGAUUUCGUUGAACUUUUGAGCUUUUUUUUUUUUUUUGGCACAGCUAGUAAAUGUUCGAACCGAUGAUUCUAUGCCUCUUUUAAUCUUUUUAAUUAUCAAAGUCGAACAAAUUUAUGCUCACGAGUAGUUGAAGACUUUAAUAAUGUAAAUAUUCGCGUCUUAAAUGUCUCAAUUUACAUUAUUUCUAUUCUAAAUUUGGAGUUAGUCAGGUCAUGGAUGAUUAAUUGAGGAAGGUGGUCUCAACCAGCUGAUUUUUUCGCUAUUAUUGUUUUUCCUCAGCUGAACUGUGUUAUUUGCUAGUAAUUAUUUUUCAAUUUACUCUUCAAUUUAUUUAUUGUUGUUGAUAUCUAAAAGCAUAAGACUCUCGAGCCCCUAGUAAUUAACUGCAUAUUUCAUUUUUAAUACUAAUAUUUCCGGUGCGUGCGCAUGUGUAUUUAUUUUAAAUUUUAGCUUUGGUCUUGUUCUAAUGAGGGAAAUAAAUAAACUUGUGAAAAUAAUUCUUUAAGGAAAAUGAAACAUGUGGUUAGCUUGAAGUAGUUGUAUUUUGAGUUUGUUUAGUUGGUUGCAGUUGUUUUAUCUGUUCAAAUUAUGAAUUCCAAAGUUUGUGCUGUUGUUUUAUCCUUAAAAGUAUAUAUUUUACCGGAAAUACUUGCUGUUUACCCCCUAUGCAGUACUUCACCUUGCAUUUUGCGUUGCUUGAAUCAGUGGUGUGAAUUUGCAAUACUGUUCUUUUUUGAGGUAUAUGAGUGAUCAUGGGAUCAGCUUGUUGUGUAGCUGCAAGGG